CUGGAGGUAUCAGAAGUGCGAAUGCUGACAUAAGUAACGAUAAAGCGGGUGAAAAGCCCGCUCGCCGGAAGACCAAGGGUUCCUGUCCAACGUUAAUCGGGGCAGGGUGAGUCGACCCCUAAGGCGAGGCCGAAAGGCGUAGUCGAUGGGAAACAGGUUAAUAUUCCUGUACUUGGUGUUACUGCGAAGGGGGGACGGAGAAGGCUAUGUUGGCCGGGCGACGGUUGUCCCGGUUUAAGCGUGUAGGCUGGUUUUCCAGGCAAAUCCGGAAAACUAAGGCUGAGGCGUGAUGACGAGGCACUACGGUGCUGAAGCAACAAAUGCCCUGCUUCCAGGAAAAGCCUCUAAGCAUCAGGUAACAUCAAAUCGUACCCCAAACCGACACAGGUGGUCAGGUAGAGAAUACCAAGGCGCUUGAGAGAACUCGGGUGAAGGAACUAGGCAAAAUGGUGCCGUAACUUCGGGAGAAGGCACGCUGAUAUGUAGGUGAAGUCCCUCGCGGAUGGAGCUGAAAUCAGUCGAAGAUACCAGCUGGCUGCAACUGUUUAUUAAAAACACAGCACUGUGCAAACACGAAAGUGGACGUAUACGGUGUGACGCCUGCCCGGUGCCGGAAGGUUAAUUGAUGGGGUCAGCGCAAGCGAAGCUCUUGAUCGAAGCCCCGGUAAACGGCGGCCGUAACUAUAACGGUCCUAAGGUAGCGAAAUUCCUUGUCGGGUAAGUUCCGACCUGCACGAAUGGCGUAAUGAUGGCCAGGCUGUCUCCACCCGAGACUCAGUGAAAUUGAACUCGCUGUGAAGAUGCAGUGUACCCGCGGCAAGACGGAAAGACCCCGUGAACCUUUACUAUAGCUUGACACUGAACAUUGAGCCUUGAUGUGUAGGAUAGGUGGGAGGCUUUGAAGUGUGGACGCCAGUCUGCAUGGAGCCGACCUUGAAAUACCACCCUUUAAUGUUUGAUGUUCUAACGUUGACCCGUAAUCCGGGUUGCGGACAGUGUCUGGUGGGUAGUUUGACUGGGGCGGUCUCCUCCUAAAGAGUAACGGAGGAGCACGAAGGUUGGCUAAUCCUGGUCGGACAUCAGGAGGUUAGUGCAAUGGCAUAAGCCAGCUUGACUGCGAGCGUGACGGCGCGAGCAGGUGCGAAAGCAGGUCAUAGUGAUCCGGUGGUUCUGAAUGGAAGGGCCAUCGCUCAACGGAUAAAAGGUACUCCGGGGAUAACAGGCUGAUACCGCCCAAGAGUUCAUAUCGACGGCGGUGUUUGGCACCUCGAUGUCGGCUCAUCACAUCCUGGGGCUGAAGUAGGUCCCAAGGGUAUGGCUGUUCGCCAUUUAAAGUGGUACGCGAGCUGGGUUUAGAACGUCGUGAGACAGUUCGGUCCCUAUCUGCCGUGGGCGCUGGAGAACUGAGGGGGGCUGCUCCUAGUACGAGAGGACCGGA
rnacentral:rRNA from 1 species